rnacentral:rRNA from 1 species
AGGGCACCACCAGGAGCGGAGCCUGCGGCUUAAUUUGACUCAACACGGGGAAACUUACCCGGCCUGGACACUGGAAGGAUUGACAGAUUGAGAGCUCUUUCUUGAUUCAGUGGGUGGUGGUGCAUGGCCGUUCUUAGUUGGUGGAGCGAUUUGUCUGGUUAAUUCCGAUAACGAACGAGACUCUAGCCUAUUAAAUAGGCUCUCGGCUUUUAAACGCCGGGAGGACUUCUUAGAGGGACAUGUGGCGGUUCAGCCGCACGAAAGAGAGCAAUAACAGGUCUGUGAUGCCCUUUGUUGUCCGGGGCCGCACGCGCGCUACACUGAAGAGAUCAGCGUGCUUUACGUUCCUGCUCCGACCGGAGUGGGGAACCCAGUGAACCUUCUUCGUGAUUGGGAUAGAAGAUUGUAAUUAUUCUUCUUGAACGAGGAAUUCCCAGUAAAUGCGAGUCAUAAGCUCGCGUUGAUUACGUCCCUGCCCUUUGUACACACCGCCCGUCGCUACUACCGAUUGAACGAUUU